AUUCCCCUCCCGGUAACACGAAACUAUCAACCGCAUCUUCCUUCCUUCGCGACGGCGACCUCCCCGCACCCCACUCCUCCCGAUCUCGGCCUAGGGGCGAAACCAGGAGCGUCGCUGCUGCUUCCGUCGUCUCUGGAAAGAGAAUACCCCUAUCCGUUCCUGUCCUUCUCGAUUGGAGCAAGUCGUUCAAGGCCGAACAACACCGCCGCUGGCCGCUGCAGUUAACUGCCUAGAAGAAGGUACGUGGCCUCUGCGCGGGUGGUGCCCUUUCCAUUCCCUUUCUUUCCGGUUGUAGUGAAAAGAUUGCUGCCCUGUCUGCCUCAUUUGAUCCUCUCUCUCCUACUUCAUUGCUGAUUUGAUUUCUCUCACCCCUGUUUCCUGGAAAUGCAUAUUUCUGAUUCAUGUUGUUCUUUUGGUGAUUAUAUCGGGAUCAUGGCGUCCACGACGAAGGGAAAGAUGGCGCGGACGAUGACAACAGAGAGCGAUGCGGAGGCCCGAGGGGGAGUCGGCGGCUUCAAGGUCUCCAGGACGACGCGGAGGAGGCAGGGGAUGCGGCGUUCGUCUCUCUGGUGAAAGGAAAAGACAGGGGGGCUGUGGACUAGCAUCUUGGACAACGCGCAUCCUCUCAACUAGCCUCUUCCACAGCGUAGUAGGAGAUGAGCGACAUCGAACAGAUAAGCCGUAGCAGUAGAUCCGCGUCUUCCACCUGAGAGCCCUAUGUACUCAUCAGGUUUAAUCGUUCAUAUAUGAUAUAUCACACUAUUUUUUCUUGUUGCAGAUAUGUGUUCCCUGGAUGUUGUAGGAGCAGCAAAUCUAAUUAUAAAUUUUCUACCACAAACCAUCAGCGAUAUUGAUGGAUUGAAGCAAAAUCACUCCAUUGUUGGCUACCAUACAGUAUAUGUAUAGCAGCUUAAGUAUAUUGAUGGCUUGUUAUCCUUGAUUGAAGAUGCCUUGGUGAGGGAUUGGACACUCGAACUGUUGCUGGAUUCUUCCCUUGCAUAGGGGGGUAAGCUAGCUGACUGGAGCAUUGGCCUUUCUUGCCUUGUAUUACCGACUCGGAGGCUGCCUGUGAAACAAAACUUCUGAGGAUGCCAUGAUACAAGACAAUUCGGAGCAAGUUGGCCCAGAAGUGCUAACAUGAUUAGAAGUGAUGUAGCUAAUACUUUGUUUUGAGAUGAUACAAGAUCCUAUGAACUAUUUGCUUGAGAGAUCCACAUGGUAAGAUUCCUACUUUCUUUGUCUUAUUUCUAUUAUCCCAAGAUAAGCUUGUUUCCUCUGGUGGUAUGCCUUUCAGAUGAAGAGCAUCAUUGGUCCAGUUCUAGAUUCAGCCAUUAAGGUUUGCUUGGCCUUAAAACAUCAGUACUUAUCUAAUUGUAUACAUGUUCUAGCAUCUUGCUACAAACGAGAUUUGGAUCAUUGGUCCUGUUCUAGAUUCAGCCAUUAAGGUUUGCUUGGCCUUAGAACAUCAGUACUUAUCUAAUUGUACACCCGUUCUCGAUUUACUGUACAUCACCAUUAGGAUUUUUUCUGCCACAACUUGUUUGCACUAGCACAAUUUAUAGAUUGAGGAAAAAUUGACUAAUUUUACACAUGCAUGUUAAUUAUUGUCCAACAUAGGCACAAAAUAAUUGGAACAUUGUUCUUCAUUUAUUGGAGUUCAUAUAUUAUAGAAAAGGAAUAACCAAACAAGUUAUUCUGCAUAGUUGUUGACAAGUGUCAAAUAAAUUCAUCAUUUUCAGACCGUAUGCAUGAUAUUUUAAAAUGUGGGUGGUACAAACUUGCUUUACUUUGAACACUAUGCGAAACCAGUUGCAUUGCUGCUGCUCCGUCGUCUCUGAAGAGAGAAUACCCCUAUCCGUUCAUGCCCUUCUCGAUUGGAGCCAGUCAUUCAAGGAGGAACAGCACCGCUGCUGCCCUCCCCACCUUCCGUCCGGUGGGGCAGCUGAGAGGGGCUCCAGCAGCAAGUCCGGUCUCGCUGGCUGGUGUUGCUGUCUGCUACACAAUCUAUGGAAACGUCGCAAUCUAUGGAAAUAUUGCUUCUAUGCUGAAGCACAAAAAUGUUAUCGCUGUUGGAAAUGCUUGACUAUUUCCUUGCUAGGGAUGAACUGGGGUAAUUACGUUUCAAUGUUUUCUUCUCAUUUUAUCUUUCCAAUUUUUAUUGAUGGUCCCAUGAUUUUUAGGAAUUAUGCCAAUUAAUUAUGAACUCUUCAUAUCAUAAAACUUUUUAUUACAGUACUAUAAACAUUAUCAUUUGUUUCGUUUUGAUAAUUUUAGGUUAACUUUCCAUCACUCGAUAGUCAAGAAUGCAGUGGGGACCUAUACUGGAUACGUUUAGUUCUUUACCCAGCUAUACUUGUAUUACUUAAUGCCAAAUGACGAUGGCGUUCUGAGAGAACUUGCAUCCUGUAGGGGAGCCAUACAAACACACCUCACUCAGCACAUAUAUUCACAUUAACAGGAGUAUGGUACCAGGAUUGAACCAUCAACACAGCAAAGUUUGUGAUGACAUUCUAAAGCUUCUUGAUUUCCUACCUUGUCCUCUCUUCUGUGUAGCACAGCCCAAGAUGUCCUACUUGAAAAUGGAUGGUGGCUAUGAUAGGUAUAUUUUUGGCCUAUGAAGAAUAAUUUCAGCCAGUAAUUUAUUGGUUUGAUGAAAUUCGAAUGUCUAUUCUAAGUGUGAAUCCAUAAAUACCUUUGGGAGGUUAUGACUCGAGCUGACAGGAAAGUAGCAGCUGAGCUAUUCAACUAUAUUUUGUGACUAUAAAGGCAAUUGGUCUAAUGUUGGAAUCUUUAGUCAAAUUGAUGCACAAACAUGAUGAUUUUCUCUAUGUUUGAUCAAAGUGAAAUUUACACGGGUUGAUGUGUGGGUGCUAUUGACAUGUACUGAUUAUUUCCCCGGCUUCAUUCUAGCACAAAGUGGAACAAAGAGCACUGCCUCCUUAACUAAUACAGUUAAUGCCAAGCACACCAAUGCACGGCCUGGCGGCUUACUACAACCUCUUCCAGUCCCAGAGGGCGCCUGUCGUGACAUCACCAUGGACUUCAUCGACGAACUACCACUCUCAGAGGGAUUUGAUGUCAUCCUUGUCGUCGUUGACAGGUUCACGAAGAUGGGCAUAACUUUGAUGCAAUGACCUCGCCAGAGACCUUUAUAAAAAAAAUGUUGUGAUGCUAUUUUUUUUGCUAUAAUUGUUUUGUUGUUUCGCUACUUUAGUAUAGAAAUUUUGCUACGAGGUCUCCGGCGAGGUCUUCGUCAAUAUUUCCGAUGAUAUUGGGUUUUGCCACAUUAGCAUUUUUCUGCUACAAUAGCAAUUUUUUUUUGCUA